AUGGCUCAGGACGAACGCUGGCGGCGUGCUUAACACAUGCAAGUCGAGCGGUAAGGCCUUUCGGGGUACACGAGCGGCGAACGGGUGAGUAACACGUGGGUGAUCUGCCCUGCACUUCGGGAUAAGCCUGGGAAACUGGGUCUAAUACCGGAUAUGACCUCCUAUCGCAUGGUGGGUGGUGGAAAGAUUUAUCGGUGCAGGAUGGGCCCGCGGCCUAUCAGCUUGUUGGUGGGGUAAUGGCCUACCAAGGCGACGACGGGUAGCCGACCUGAGAGGGUGACCGGCCACACUGGGACUGAGACACGGCCCAGACUCCUACGGGAGGCAGCAGUGGGGAAUAUUGCACAAUGGGCGAAAGCCUGAUGCAGCGACGCCGCGUGAGGGAUGACGGCCUUCGGGUUGUAAACCUCUUUCAGCAGGGACGAAGCGCAAGUGACGGUACCUGCAGAAGAAGCACCGGCUAACUACGUGCCAGCAGCCGCGGUAAUACGUAGGGUGCAAGCGUUGUCCGGAAUUACUGGGCGUAAAGAGUUCGUAGGCGGUUUGUCGCGUCGUUUGUGAAAACCAGCAGCUCAACUGCUGGCUUGCAGGCGAUACGGGCAGACUUGAGUACUGCAGGGGAGACUGGAAUUCCUGGUGUAGCGGUGAAAUGCGCAGAUAUCAGGAGGAACACCGGUGGCGAAGGCGGGU
rnacentral:rRNA from 1 species